rnacentral:rRNA from 1 species
GAUGAACGCUGGCGGCGUGCCUAAUACAUGCAAGUCGAGCGAACAGAUGAGGAGCUUGCUCCUCUGACGUUAGCGGCGGACGGGUGAGUAACACGUGGAUAACCUACCUAUAAGACUGGGAUAACUUCGGGAAACCGGAGCUAAUACCGGAUAAUAUAUUGAACCGCAUGGUUCAAUAGUGAAAGACGGUUUUGCUGUCACUUAUAGAUGGAUCCGCGCCGCAUUAGCUAGUUGGUAAGGUAACGGCUUACCAAGGCAACGAUGCGUAGCCGACCUGAGAGGGUGAUCGGCCACACUGGAACGGAGACACGGUCCAGACUCCAACGGGAGGCAGAAGUAGGGAAUGUUCCGCAAUGGGCGAAAGCAUGACGGAGCAACGCCGCGUGAGUGAUGAAGGUCUUCGGAUCGUAAAACUCUGUUAUUAGGGAAGAACAAAUGUGUAAGUAACUAUGCACGUAUUGACGGUACCUAAUCAGAAAGCCACGGCUAACUACGUG